rnacentral:rRNA from 1 species
CGUUAGCGGCGGGCGGGUGAGUAACACGUGGGUAACCUACCUAUAAGACUGGGAUAACUUCGGGAAACCGGAGCUAAUACCGGAUAAUAUUUCGAACCGCAUGGUUCGAUAGUGAAAGAUGGUUUUGCUAUCACUUAUAGAUGGACCUGCGCCGUAUUAGCUAGUUGGUAAGGUAACGGCUUACCAAGGCGACGAUACGUAGCCGACCUGAGAGGGUGAUCGGCCACACUGGAACUGAGACACGGUCCAGACUCCUACGGGAGGCAGCAGCC